rnacentral:rRNA from 1 species
UACGUAGGUGGCAAGCGUUAUCCGGAUUUACUGGGUGUAAAGGGAGCGUAGACGGAAUUGCAAGUCUGAUGUGAAAAUCCGGGGCCCAACCCCGGAACUGCAUUGGAAACUGUAUUUCUAGAGUGUCGGAGAGGCAAGUGGAAUUCCUGGUGUAGCGGUGAAAUGCGUAGAUAUCAGGAGGAACACCAGUGGCGAAGGCGGCUUGCUGGACGAUGACUGACGUUGAGGCUCGAAAGCGUGGGGAGCAAACAGG